GGCAGAACCAGGGGCCACGAGAGU
rnacentral:siRNA from 1 species